rnacentral:rRNA from 1 species
GAUGAACGCUGGCGGCGUGCUUAACACAUGCAAGUCGAACGGGAAUUCUUUUAUUGCAACUUCGGUCGAUUUAAUUUAAUUCUAGUGGCGGACGGGUGAGUAACGCGUGGGUAACCUGCCUUAUACAGGGGGAUAACAGUCAGAAAUGGCUGCUAAUACCGCACAAGCGCACAGAGCUGCAUGGCUCAGUGUGAAAAACUCCGGUGGUAUAAGAUGGACCCGCGUUGGAUUAGCUUGUUGGCAGGGUAACGGCCUACCAAGGCGACGAUCCAUAGCCGGCAUGAGAGGGUGAACGGACACAUUGGGACUGGGACACGGCCCAGAAUACUACGGGAGGCAGCAGUGGGGAAUAUUGCACAAUGGGGGAAACGAUAAUGCAGCGACGCCGCGUGAAGGAAGAAGUAUCUCGGUAUGUAAACUUCUAUCAGCAGGGAAGAUAGUGACGGUACCUGACUAAGAAGCCCCGGCUAACUACGUG